UACGGAGGGAGCUAGCGUUGUUCGGAAUUACUGGGCGUAAAGCGUACGUAGGCGGCUUUGUAAGUUAGGGGUGAAAGCCCGGGGCUCAACUCCGGAACUGCCUUUAAGACUGCAUCGCUUGAAUCCAGGAGAGGUGAGUGGAAUUCCGAGUGUAGAGGUGAAAUUCGUAGAUAUUCGGAAGAACACCAGUGGCGAAGGCGGCUCACUGGACUGGUAUUGACGCUGAGGUGCGAAAGCGUGGGGAGCAAACAGG
rnacentral:rRNA from 1 species